rnacentral:rRNA from 1 species
GGGGGGGGGGGGGGGGGGGGGGGGGGGGGGGGGGGGGGGGGGGGGGGGGGGGGGCGGGGGGCGCUGACGUUGGCGGCGGACGGGGGAGGAACGCGGGGAGAACCUACCUAUAAGACUGGGAUAACUUCGGGAAACCGGAGCUAAUACCGGAUAAUAUAUUGAACCGCAUGGUUCAAUAGUGAAAGACGGUUUUGCUGUCACUUAUAGAUGGAUCCGCGCCCCAUUAGCUAGUUGGUAAGGUAACGGCUUACCAAGGCAACGAUGCGUAGCCGACCUGAGAGGGUGAUCGGCCACACUGGAACUGAGACACGGUCCAGACUCCUACGGGAGGCAGCAGUAGGGAAUCUUCCGCAAUGGGCGAAAGCCUGACGGAGCAACGCCGCGUGAGUGAUGAAGGUCUUCGGAUCGUAAAACUCUGUUAUUAGGGAAGAACAAAUGUGUAAGUAACUAUGCCCGUCUUGACGGUACCUAAUCAGAAAGCCACGGCUAACUACGUG